AUUCUGGCUCAGGAUGAACGCUGGCGGCGUGCUUAACACAUGCAAGUCGAACGGGAUCCAUCAGGCUUUGCUUGGUGGUGAGAGUGGCGAACGGGUGAGUAAUGCGUGACCGACCUGCCCCAUACACCGGAAUAGCUCCUGGAAACGGGUGGUAAUGCCGGAUGCUCCGACUCCUCGCAUGGGGUGUCGGGAAAGAUUUCAUCGGUAUGGGAUGGGGUCGCGUCCUAUCAGGUAGUCGGCGGGGUAACGGCCCACCGAGCCUACGACGGGUAGCCGGCCUGAGAGGGCGACCGGCCACAUUGGGACUGAGAUACGGCCCAGACUCCUACGGGAGGCAGCAGUGGGGAAUAUUGCACAAUGGGCGCAAGCCUGAUGCAGCGACGCCGCGUGCGGGAUGACGGCCUUCGGGUUGUAAACCGCUUUUGAUCGGGAGCAAGCCUUCGGGUGAGUGUACCUUUCGAAUAAGCACCGGCUAACUACGUGCCAGCAGCCGCGGUAAUACGUAGGGUGCAAGCGUUAUCCGGAAUUAUUGGGCGUAAAGGGCUCGUAGGCGGUUCGUCGCGUCCGGUGUGAAAGUCCAUCGCUUAACGGUGGAUCUGCGCCGGGUACGGGCGGGCUGGAGUGCGGUAGGGGAGACUGGAAUUCCCGGUGUAACGGUGGAAUGUGUAGAUAUCGGGAAGAACACCAAUGGCGAAGGCAGGUCUCUGGGCCGUUACUGACGCUGAGGAGCGAAAGCGUGGGGAGCGAACAGGAUUAGAUACCCUGGUAGUCCACGCCGUAAACGGUGGAUGCUGGAUGUGGGGCCCGUUCCACGGGUUCCGUGUCGGAGCUAACGCGUUAAGCAUCCCGCCUGGGGAGUACGGCCGCAAGGCUAAAACUCAAAGAAAUUGACGGGGGCCCGCACAAGCGGCGGAGCAUGCGGAUUAAUUCGAUGCAACGCGAAGAACCUUACCUGGGCUUGACAUGUUCCCGACAGCCGUAGAGAUAUGGCCUCCCUUCGGGGCGGGUUCACAGGUGGUGCAUGGUCGUCGUCAGCUCGUGUCGUGAGAUGUUGGGUUAAGUCCCGCAACGAGCGCAACCCUCGCCCUGUGUUGCCAGCACGUCAUGGUGGGAACUCACGGGGGACCGCCGGGGUCAACUCGGAGGAAGGUGGGGAUGACGUCAGAUCAUCAUGCCCCUUACGUCCAGGGCUUCACGCAUGCUACAAUGGCCGGUACAACGGGAUGCGACACGGCGACGUGGAGCGGAUCCCUGAAAACCGGUCUCAGUUCGGAUUGGAGUCUGCAACCCGACUCCAUGAAGGCGGAGUCGCUAGUAAUCGCGGAUCAGCAACGCCGCGGUGAAUGCGUUCCCGGGCCUUGUACACACCGCCCGUCAAGUCAUGAAAGUGGGUAGCACCCGAAGCCGGUGGCCUAACCCUU
rnacentral:rRNA from 1 species